rnacentral:tRNA from 1 species
UAUUGAUACAUAAUGGCUAGGACUGACUUUUAAUCAGUAGGUCCCGGGUUCGAUCCCCGGAGCGAUCACCA